rnacentral:rRNA from 1 species
CCUACGGGCGGCAGCAGUGAGGAAUAUUGGUCAAUGGGCGAGAGCCUGAACCAGCCAAGUCGCGUGAGGGAGUACUGCCCUAUGGGUUGUAAACCUCUUUUGUCGGGGAGCAAAAGCCGGACGUGUCCGGCUGUGAGAGUACCCGAAGAAAAAGCAUCGGCUAACUCCGUGCCAGCAGCCGCGGUAAUACGGAGGAUGCGAGCGUUAUCCGGAUUUAUUGGGGUUAAAGGGUGCGCAGGCGGAUUUUUAAGUCAGCGGUCAAAUCGUGGGGCUCAACCCCAUCCAGCCGUUGAAACUGGGGAUCUAGAGUGUGCGAGAGGUAUGCGGAAUGCGUGGUGUAGCGGUGAAAUGCAUAGAUAUCACGCAGAACCCCGAUUGCGAAGGCAGCAUACCGGUGCACAACUGACGCUCAGGCACGAAAGCGUGGGUAUCGAACAGGAUUAGAUACCCUUGUAGU